rnacentral:rRNA from 1 species
CCUACGGGUGGCAGCAGUGAGGAAUAUUGGUCAAUGGUCGGGAGACUGAACCAGCCAAGCCGCGUGAGGGAUGAAGGUACAGAGUAUCGUAAACCUCUUUUGUCAGGGAACAAAGGCGUGGACGCGUCCCCGGAUGAGUGUACCUGAAGAAAAAGCAUCGGCUAACUCCGUGCCAGCAGCCGCGGUAAUACGGAGGAUGCGAGCGUUAUCCGGAUUUAGUGGGUUUAACGGGUGCGCAGGUGGUCUGCUCAGUCAGCAGUCAAAGCCCGGGGCUCACCCCCGGCCCGCCGUGGAAACUGGCAGUCUCGAGUUGGAGAGAAGUAUGCGGAAUGCGCGGGGUAGCGGUGAAAUGCAUAGAUAUAGCGCAGAACACCGAUUGCGAAGGCAGCAUGCCGGCUCCACACUGGCGCUGAGGCACGAAAGCGUGGGUAUCGAACAGGAUUAGAUACCCCGGUAGUC